AGUCGAGCGGUAGCAGGAAGUGCUUGCACUUCGCUGACGAGCGGCGGACGGGUGCGUAACACGUAGGAAUCUGCCUGGUAGUGGGGGAUAGCCCGGAGAAAUCCGGAUUAAUACCGCAUACGCCCUACGGGGGAAAGCAGGGGAUCGGUUCGCCGACCUUGCGCUAUCAGAUGAGCCUGCGUCGGAUUAGCUGGUUGGUGGGGUAAAGGCCUACCAAGGCGACGAUCCGUAGCUGGUCUGAGAGGAUGAUCAGCCACACUGGGACUGAGACACGGCCCAGACUCCUAUGGGAGGCAGCAGUGGGGAAUAUUGCACAAUGGGCGAAAGCCUGAUGCAGCCAUGCCGCGUGUGUGAAGAAGGCCCUAGGGUUGUAAAGCACUUUCAGUGGGGAGGAAAGGUUGCUGGUUAAUACCCAGCAGCUGUGACGUUACCCACAGAAGAAGCACCGGCUAACUCCGUGCCAGCAGCCGCGGUAAUACGGAGGGUGCGAGCGUUAAUCGGAAUUACUGGGCGUAAAGCGUGCGUAGGCGGCUACCUAAGUUGGAUGUGAAAGCCCCGGGCUCAACCUGGGAACUGCAUCCAAAACUGGGUGGCUAGAGUACGGGAGAGGAGUGUGGAAUUUCCUGUGUAGCGGUGAAAUGCGUAGAUAUAGGAAGGAACACCAGUGGCGAAGGCGACACUCUGGCCUGAUACUGACGCUGAGGUACGAAAGCGUGGGGAGCAAACAGGAUUAGAUACCCUGGUAGUCCACGCCGUAAACGAUGUCUACUAGUUGUCGGUUGUCUUGUACGACUGGUAACGCAGCUAACGCGAUAAGUAGACCGCCUGGGGAGUAC
rnacentral:rRNA from 1 species